CAAAAAUUGCAUUCAGUCUUGGUGUAUAUUUUACCAUUUGAUUGUCCAACAAGCAAAAUCUACUUCAAGUGAUGGAUGAUGAUCUUGUAAAGUGGCAAUAUUAAUAAAACUCUCACCAAGAGGACUAUGAGGAUUAAAAGUACAAGAUAAAUAAAAGGCUAAUUUUAACAGCUUUUUAAGGUAUAAUUAGCAUAAUAUAAGAUACAUGUUACUAAAAUAUACAAGAUUUGACUUACUUAUAAAUCUCUGACACUGACUACAAUAAUAUACAAUGCUU
rnacentral:lncRNA from 1 species